AUUGAACGCUGGCGGCAUGCCUUACACAUGCAAGUCGAACGGCAGCACGGGAGCUUGCUCCUGGUGGCGAGUGGCGAACGGGUGAGUAAUACAUCGGAACGUACCCUGAAGUGGGGGAUAACGUAGCGAAAGUUACGCUAAUACCGCAUAUUCUGUGAGCAGGAAAGAGGGGGAUCGCAAGACCUCUUGCUUUAGGAGCGGCCGAUGUCGGAUUAGCUAGUUGGUGAGGUAAAGGCUCACCAAGGCGACGAUCCGUAGCGGGUCUGAGAGGAUGAUCCGCCACACUGGGACUGAGACACGGCCCAGACUCCUACGGGAGGCAGCAGUGGGGAAUUUUGGACAAUGGGCGCAAGCCUGAUCCAGCCAUGCCGCGUGAGUGAAGAAGGCCUCGGUGUAAGCUCUUCGUGGGAGAAU
rnacentral:rRNA from 1 species